UAAAUCCAUCCUAUUUCGCGGUUAAUGACCAGUCGAUUGCUAUGUCUAAUCAGGGUCAAAUAUCUUAAUAACAACAUAGCAUUACAAUAUUAAAUAGAUAGGAGAAGAUAAAUAUUCAGAGAAAGAGGAUUUUUGAGCACGAGAGAAAGGGGCUUAGAAAGUUAGAAUUGCUGAACAGGUAACAAACUAGGUCGUUUUGGCUUCUAGAUUCUAGUAACGAAGGGGACAUGUGCACUAUACUAUUUGUGAAACUAAACUUGCACCAGUUUUUUGGCUAUCAAGGCUUCCACUAGUGGUUGGCCACUGCCGCAAUGUAUAAACUAUGAAGACAGUGCGUUUUGUAAGAUAAAUGAAAAAUAUUUUGGUGGUUGUUGCUUUUGAUUUGGUUACUACUAAGUAGUGUUCGGAAGCCUGUAUCUAACAGCAAUGCAUAAGUUUUUUUUUUUUUUUUUUUUUUUUUUGACAACGAAACUAGAUUUUUCAGCUGUCGUUUUUCACUUGUACUUGAUUCUUGUUUCCUUGCUUGACUAUUUACUGGUAUCAUUCUGACUUGCUUAAAGUUGAAGUCUAUAAGAUUUUCAAAGGAAUAAAGUGGGUAAAGAAUGUAUAUGUCUGAAGUAAGUUUUGCUCUGCACAGCCAACCUAAACUAGAGCCAUUCCCUUGAAAUAUGAACUAAAGCCAUGAGAAUAAUUUCUCCUUCACAAAGCACCAAAAUCUAGAGCAAAUAGACAUCCAUAUAGUCUAUCUGACAUAGCAAUAAACAUUUGAAGGUUCUGCACUAAGUUUAUCUAAAAUUUGAAGUUUAAUAAUUAUUUCUUGAUGUAAAAAAAAUGUGUAUGAGUACAUUUAGUUACCAGCAGAACAACAACCCAAAAUGAGGCCUCUUAGCUUGGCAGGUGCUCUUGUAACUUUUACCACAAUCCAUCCAAAGGAUAAACCAAAGGUAAAAGCAAGAAGAAUAUUUACUGGCAUAAACCACCUGAAUCAAGGAACAGAAGUAAUCCUCUUAUUUAUUUCUCAUUAGCAAUUAUAAUAUAAUACACUAAAAGUACUUGGAUACGCCGGAUAGUCAGAGUAGCACUUAGCCACUUAACUGCCGUUAUUGAAUACUCACAGUUUGGCCAAGCUUUCCAUGGUGAUUGUUUUUGCCAAAUAGAUUGCAACAAGAGAGGGACUGAAUACAUAAAAUACUAUCUGAAGAUUAAAAAAAAAGAGAUAGAAAUUUUUAGAAAAGGAUGUUGUGGCCCAUGGCCAGUACUAAUAUGAUAAAAUUAUGACACGAUAUGUUAAACCUCUUUGCUGUAGAAAAAAUAGUAAAAUUAUUACUGCUUUCAUGCAGCCUUUUAUUACUUACAUUGUUUAAAUGUUUUCUUGCUUCUUUGCUUAGUAUGCCAGCAAAAUCGGUUGCCAAAAACGACCCAACACCAGUUACCAGAAGCAUGUUAAAGACCGGGACACAAGCCGUGACGAAGAGUUCUAAGAGAUCCAUAUUCGGCUUUGAGGGCUCAAAUUAUGUAAUGCUUCUUAUCCUGAAAUUAAUCAUAAAAUUUGUGUGAAGUAAUUGAUCGAGAUGCGUAAUUACAAUAAGCAGAAGUACUAACCAACAUGUGGAAAAUUGGUUAAAUUGGGAUAAUUCAGAAAAUAGCACUAGUUUCUUGUGGUGUUUGGGAAAUAGCAUUUGAACUUGCGAAUUCACACAACAGCACUGGUUUAGCCAAAUGAUCUAUGAAAUGACAUUCAGCUACCUUUUCUGUCUUUCUUCACAUAGAAAUGGACCAAAUUGCCAUUGAGCUUAGGUAUUGAAUAAAUAGAUAGUUGAACUGAACUGUGGAAAAGUACCAAACAAAUCAUAAAAGGGUCAUGAACUACAUAAUCACCCUGGCACCCUGCAUGUGCAACUCAGCCUACUACGGCUAUGCGCGCACCGUUACUUUGCCUGCCAUCGAUCUCUUCAUUGUCGAUAUAUAUUAUCGCUGUCAAGAACACAUGCAGGGGCAAACAUGCCUUUUUGUUUUGGGUAGAAACCAAGUGGGGAAAAAAUGAUAUUGAGAGUAACGAGGGGCAAACAUGCCGUGAUGCCGUUUCAUCAAUUCAUAGUUUUUUAGUGCUGUUUCGUGAACUCAAGAGAGACCGGUGCUAUUUUGUGAGUUUCCCCAGUUAAGUUUAUAACAUUUUGCCGAACUUUUGAAGAGCACAGAAAGCAAAAACGGUGUGAGAGAUGGUUCGUUAUCAAUAAACAGACCAUAUAUUUACAAACAAGAACAAACCAAUAUUGGAGCCAUAUAAAUUUCAGAGAUAAGUGCUCUCUUCAUUCUCCUUUGUCAAAAACUCAAAAUUUCAGCCCCCCCCCCCCAAUCAAGAAAAGAAGAAACACCAAAGCCUUUCAAAGAUUGGAGCCAUAUAAAUCAAGACGGGUUCCCAGAUACUAUGUCAAAACAAGUGCGAGAGCUGGACGCGACCUUUUUGAUGCUUCUCCCUCUUGAAGGAUUCCUCCCACGAAGAGUACGAAGGAGAGAAAGGCCUUAAUAUGAGAAGCUAAGCGCUGACUUGCUCUGUGCUAGCUUCUUACGAGAAGCGCAAAUAUUAAGAAUACAGGUGGUGCAGUAGCAGUACCCAUCCAAAUCGAGCCCUGGGGUUCAGUUCAGUACUGGCUACGCUAUAACAACCUGCCUUCAAGAGCACACUGGCCCAGAGAGCCGUGCACGUGCACGUGCCAACCAAAUCCCGAUGAAUGGACGAAGCUGAGCAAGAAGUACCGAGAUUUUAUGAGCUGGGCUAUCUGGGUCUCUAGAAACGAGCUCAUCUUCAAUGGGGUCCAGCCAACGCCGGCAAGUUGUUGCAGAAUCUUCCUAAAAGAGAUUUCUGUCUUUCAAUACAGGAUCAAGCCUGCCCUAUCUCAGCCCUACCUUUUAUGGAUUCAGCAACUCUUGUAAUUUGUUCUUGUGUUCUUUUCUUUCUGUCUUUCAAGGUUCCUUAGCUUCCCCCUGCUCUUCUCUUCCCUUCCCAUCUCUUCUCUCUUUGUUUGAUGUAACUUUGUUUUCUUUGCUUUAAAUAAAAUCUCUGUAGGGACCCAGAUCCCUCCAGAUUCGUCAAAAAAAAAGUACCGAGAUUUUAAGAUCGAUAGCUGGGACACUCUGGACCAGCUGAACGUAGCCGGGAUCCUUUGGACCAGAUACUGAAAGAGGAGGAAAACGAAACGAGAGCGCUCAAGAACAGCGUCAGACAGAGUUCGAUCGUAACGCGAUCCAGGACGGACGUACCUGUCCUCAACAGCAACCUCGCCGAGCUAGACGACGUGUCCAACGGCGCCGGAGAAGGGCGAAGCUAGGGAAGCGCUCCCUCCCUCUCCCACUCUUCUGAUCGGAACUGAUCUAGUUGCCCGGCCCGCGCGAGGCUGUGAUGGGGAGAUAUGAAGCUGGUGGCGGUCGCGGCAGUGGGCCGGCCAAAAGGCGAUUGCCUGAGGUGACCUGGCCGGUUCCGUGGCCGCCUUUGCCUCGGUGUCGAUCGUCAGGCUCCGUGCGUCACUCGGCCACUGCGUGCUCUGAAGUCUGAACGUCGCCUGAAUUUUCUUGCUCCUGUCCUGUCGCGGCCUGGCGGGGUUUGUUUGCGGUUAUUUAAGCAGACUGCCCGCGGAACGUGGGGCGUGCGCCAUCGACCAUCGUGCCUGUAUUCACGUUCGCUGCCGGUUAGACUUUUUUUUUCAAAAUAAUAAGUGGUUGUUUUAGUCAAUACACAUAAGUUAUGCAAAUAAUUACUCGUCUCAGCUAACAAAGGACAAAGCCUAUUACCAAUAUAUGUUAGAAAUUGAUCCCUAGAGACAAGUUGUAUGCUAAUCUCCACGCGUGAAAGCGUUGAUUAGAUUUACCAACACGAACAUGUAAGAUCACAUACGACCAGAGGCACGAUAUUUGUUAAUGAGGUUCAUGCGAGAAGCCUAGUCCCCAAGGCAUGACUACGGACGCUCUUCUCCAAUAUUAGCAACACUAGCCGCUCCAGGCUCCCAGCAAUAUAGUGAUGCCUUUCUGUAAACUUGUCGCUAUGUUGUCAUAGUUAACUAUCUUUAUAUUUAUGAGGAGAUCAGGUUACAGAGUUUAACACCAACUCUACUCUAUAUUGCCAAAUAUAGCUAUUCUAACAAACUCCAUCUUGACAAAUAUUCCGUCAUCUUGAAGCCGUCCAUGCAUGAACCUCCUUGUACACGUGACUUGAGUUAUUGCCUUCGUUGUUCCACGAGAGCUACCUGACAAGUCACAUCAUAGCCCACCAUAAAAAAGAGCCUCAUUUUCUAUGCAAUUCUAUACUUCGUGGCUCUACCUGCAGUUGUGCACCCUUCUCUUUAUCACCAUACUCUCUAUCAAGUAAAAUUUUGAUUUCUCUUCAGCUCUUACACAUGCUUGACUUCCUAAAGCAUGUUUGCUCAAUGCUAGGCACCAGACGAGCUAACCGAAUCCAAUACCAUAUUCAAACUGAUUGUACACGUGACACUGAGAACCUCACAGUAGCUAAAUGAGUCACAUAUAGAAAUUGUCAUAAUUGUUCGUUUGGCUGAUAAGCCAUGGCAGAAAGUACUGUUGGCUGAUUUGCUGUGAGAGAAAAAUACUACUGCAUGGCUGACAGAUUCAGCUGAUAAGUUCAAGCAAACAAGGACAUGCAUUCUGAGCUCAUGCCACAUAUUGCCAUGCCACAGAGAUCAAGAAACCCCAUCAGCCAUCACACUCCUAUGUCAUCGUCACUGAUCAUGUCAUCUUCUCCGUCUCAUAGUAUGACUAGCAUGUCACCGCUAACCUCUCCACCAUAGUCUGACUAGCAUGUCUGCUAAUCUCCACGCGAGGAAGCAUUGAUUAGAUCCACCGAAACAAACAUGCAAGAUCACAGAUGACACCAGUUGUUAAUGAGGUUGAAUCGAUGACUAUUCCCUGGGCAUGACUACAGGCGCUCCUCCUCAAUAUCAGCAACAUUGGCCGCUCCAGGGUCCCAGCAACAUGCCACUGCCCUCCUGUGAACAUGUUGCUAUGUCAUCAUAGUUACAACAACAGUCCUCCUCUUAUAUUUAUGAGGAGACCAAGUUAGAGAGUUCAACACCAACUCUACCAUAUAGUGCCAAAUAUAACUCAGAGUCCUAAUGUAACUAAACCUACAUACAAUCUCUGUGCAUGACAAAGAGUCCAUCAUCUUCGAUGGCACUCUCUAGCAUAUGACAUGCUCCCUUCAAUCUUGGCCCACCAUUCUCUUUUGAAAUGAUGAACCAAAUACGAGUCUAAGGCCCAUUUGGUAGAGCUCAACUUCACUCGUGAAGCUAUUUUUUUAUGGUUUUAGCUCAAUGAGCAGAUCUUUCGGUGAAGCUAACCUUUUUUGUCACCCGUUUCGCAAAACAACUUCACAUGGUAGACAAAAACAUAAAAUGACUAAAACACCCUUCUCUCUCCCCCUAUUUCUUCUUCCUCAACUCAUCAUUUUCUCCUGAUGUCUCAUUCGGAAUUCCCCAUUCGUAACCUCACCCUAACCUUGGACGCCCGCACCAUGGUGGGCUCUACUUGCGUCCGGCCCUGGCGGCUUCGUACUGAGCCUCGGUAGUCGCUCGCGUGGCAAGCCAUGGUGGCUACGCCUCGAGCCAUGGCAACUACGCGGAAAGCCCCAACGCCUCUGCAGCCUAAGCUCCAACGGUCACGCACCCACACAGUGGUAGGGCGAUGACGUACCUCCCUAGUGCAAGUCGCAACUCUCUCCUCUACGCUCUCCUCCAAGAGGGCACAUGCAGUCUUCUAGACCUGUUGGGUCCCACUUGUGUCAGAUAAAGUUAAGAUAAGCUACUUUUUUUGGCUUCAUGUAUCCAAUCUAUUUGUGGGCUAAUUCUAAACUAAUAAGAGCUAAUGAGGGCUAAUUUGUGGUUAGAGGGCUAAACAUAGGCUAAUUUUUAGCCCUAGGAUCCAAAUGGGCCUAGAACUUAGAUGAGAUUAAUAAUUGAGAAGGCAUGUGGCUCGAGAAGAAAAAUAAAAUGAACAAGCAGUAGGAAAGACUUAAUGGACGUCUGGUGGUAGCUACAAAAAACUUGUCAUAGCAAGUGUUUCCUUGUCUUGUUAAAUGUAAUGGUGUUGGAUGCACUGCCCGCUAAGUGAAGGUUGAUGCUAAUGCCAGGUGUAUUGGAUUGUCGCAUGGAAGGCAAUAUAGUCACGGUGGAUUAACUCAAGAGUUGAAACAUCACGAUAGAGCAUGUUCGUUGGUUAGAGAAGUCAUGAUUGAAAAUACUGUUCAUUGCUGGCUGGUAAAAAAAGUAUCGCUUAUAAAACAAGUGAACAGAGCCUCAUAUAGGUGAUCGAUAAACUCUUGCAUAAUGAUUCUUGUGAGCCGCGUCAUGAAAUUAAAAAGCAAUUAUCACUUAGGCUAACUGAGCUUAAGCUAAUUAGACUUAAUAACUAAUUACAAACUAGGGAUCCCUAAUUUUUUUUGGGGACCCGAUAUGGUCGCGACACUUGCGCUUUCCAAUAUACGACCGCGUAGCGGCGGGCAGGAAGGAUGGCCGUGCACGUGCUUCCUGUAGAUUUUUUAAAUAAAGGAUAUAAAAUCCGGCCUCUACAUCCGAGGAUGUACACUGCCCAAAUUACAGAGUUUUAUAUGAAAUAAACAAAGAGAGCCAAAGUUCUAUAUAUGGACUGGCACGCUAGUUUAAAUAAUAUAAAUGUUUCCAUCCAUUAGAUAGACGCUGCCAGUUCUCUCUAGUGGCCAAACGAGAGAUGUUUUAAUUCCAUUUCCCAAAUCUCUAACGCUUCUAGCCUCGCGUGUCCUGACGCGAGUUCACGACAGCAUCCACAUGAAGAAGGCGGACCAGAUGGUCACGGCGACGGAGGCGAGCGCAUACACCCACACAAAGAUCACCGAGCACUCGCUCUCCCCAACGCCAAACAGCUGCAUUAUAGUCCCUGGAAAAAAAUAGCAUCCAUUUCACUUGCUACGACCUUUUUUCUCCUCCCUCGAACAUGCAUAAUAACUGUGAAAAUAAGAUGACUAGACUAUGCAGGGUGUGCAUUAUAGGAGAGUAUAUUAUACCGAUGUUCAUUGCGGGUGGCACGGCGUACUGCAGAUGGAGGAUGAACUGGUAUAGGGGGUCUGGCUGGAUGAGGCCCAGCCAGACUGCUCCUUUCACCAGCGCCGUGCCGAGCAGCGGGAGCAGAAUGUAUCUGACAACUAUGACACCGGCUAUCACUGACGGUGGAACACUUGCCCCGCCUUGUACUCCUGGUAAGAGUUUCAUGCAUCAUCCAUCAUGCUUGUGCUCAUCAGAUUCGAUUUAUGUGUUUCUCAGCAUUAUAUUUAUGUGCAUGAUAGUGUUGUUUGUGAUCAAAGCAAAGGGUUACCGUUCAGAAGGUUUGCUCCCAUUAUCAAUGUGACGGAUGGAAUUGCGCCUCCACUAUACAAGACAUAACCCAUGAAAAUGAUUAGAUAUGCAGGCUAACUAGAGGCAAGAGGUAAGGCAACAUCAAAUGAACACAACUGGAUCAACAAAAAAAGGAUAACAAAAUUAACUGAUCAAGAGGACCAGGUAUGUUGAGAAAGUAAAGAAAGUGUAGAACUGUACCCUAUCAAUUCAGACGAUUCCUGCAGGACACGAAGUGGGGCGCUUUCGCCAAUUAUAGCAUUUCUAAUCAGAGGUGUUCCUCCAAUUAUGAAGCCAACAAUCUAUAAAAGGUACAUAGAUUGUAUCAUUAUGUUGAAAUCGGUAGUGACAGGCGAUCAAAUAAAAUGGUCUUCUUUUGCGAUUUUAAGGUUGCAGAUAUAUCUUGUGAAUAUAGUUUUGACCGCAUCAAUUAUCAUUGGGUUUCAAUGAAAAAAUAAACAUGAUACUAAAAUAGAGUUAAUAACUCGUCAAACCAGCAUACCACUGCAAUGGUUGAAGGAGCAAAGAGCUUCUUCAAGUCAACUGUUUUAGAAAUUGAUGACAAAAACUUCCAUCCUCUCCCCAACAUUGGUUCCUACACAAUUGAAAAUCUUAUUAUAGUGCUGAAAGCAAGCAAGGAAAACUGUAGAACAUAUAGAGCAGCGCAACUUAUGGAAGAAAGAUCUUUCGGCAUCGACAAACCUUAUCUUUAAUUGGACGUAUGCUCGUCGAUAUCAAAGGAAGUGCACAUUCAUCGGUGCAGUCAUUUGAGGUGGAGCAGUUCUCUUCUGCAAUAGCUCCUGUAGCAUUUCCAGAAUUUAACACUUUUGUUUCAUUUGUUUGAGCACUAUCAUCUCCUUCCGUCACGUUUGAUGUGACAUGAACAAUGUUAUACACAAUCGACCAAAGGAAAACAGCACCGAUCUGCACCAAGCCACUCACGUUAUCGUUAGUGACUGACUAUUUCAACUGAUUACAAGCAAAAGCAGGCUUACAAGGACUGGAAAUUAUGCUAAAUACUUGAGCAGCAACUGACUUACAGCCAGUGAGAGUGAAGAAUAUGCUAGUCCAAUAUCCUGACAAACAUCAGGUGCUCCAAACGGGCUUCCUUUCUCUUUGCAAAGAGCUGGAAUGAUGAUGAGAAAAAUAUUGCCCAAAUUGCCUGCACCAGCAAGUUGAUAAUGGUUUUUGAAAAGAUAAGAAAAUAACAAAAUAUGAGUUGUACUAAAUCCGUCCUAUUUCACUGCUAAAGACUAGUUCUGUGUCUAAUGAUGAGGGUUAAAUAUGUUAAUAACUCCAUAACAUUGCAUAGAUAAGAGCAGACUAUAUUCAGAGAAAGAGCCUUAGAAUUGCUGAUCCGGUAAUGAAAUAGCUCGUUUUGGCUUCUAGAUUCAAGCAAGGAAGGUUGUCUUGACAUGUACAAGAUACUACUAAUUGUCAAACUAAACUUGCAUCAGUUUUGGCUAUCAGGGUUUCAGUAGUGGCAGGCCCCUACCGCACUGUAUAAACUAUAAAGACGAUGACUUUUGUAAGAUAACAAAAAAAUAUUUUGUGAAACUAAACUUGCAUCAGCUUUGGCUAUCAGUAUUUCUAGUAGUGGCAGGGAAUAAUUGCUCCUUCACAAAGCACCAAAAGCUAGAGCAAAUAGACAUGCAUCUAGCCUAUCUGAGAUAGCAAUAAUAAGCAUUUGAACGUCCUACGCUAUGUUUAUCUAAAAACUGAAGUUUAAUCAUUAUUUAUUUACUGAUAAUUGAAAAAUGGUGUAUAAGUACAGUUACUUACCAGCAGAACAACAUCCCAAAAUGAGGCCUUUUAGCUUGGCAGGUGCUCUUGUAACUUUUACCACAAUCCAUCCAAAGAAUAGACCAAAGAUAAAAGCAAGAAGAAUAUUUACUGGCAUAAACCACCUGGAUUAGGGAAAAUAAGUAACCCUCUUAUUUAUUUCUCAUUCAAAAUUAUAAUAAUACACAAGAAGUAUUUGGAUAUGCCAGAUAGCCAGGGAAGCAUUUAACCAUUUAAUUGCCAUUAUUGAAUACUCACAGUUUUGCCAAGCUUUCCAUGGUGAUUGUUUUUGCCAAGUAUAUUGCAACAAGGGAGGGAUUGAAUACAUAAAAUACUAUCUGAAGAUUAAAAAAAUAGAUAUAGAAAACUUUAGAAAAUGAUGCUGUGGCCGUGAGCAUUAUUAAUAAGAUAAAAAUUAUGACACAAUAUGUUAAAACUCUUUGUUGUAGAUCAAUUAAUAAAAUUACUUUGCUUACAUUGUUCAAAUAUUUUCUUGCUUCUUUGCUUAGUAUGCCAGCAAAAUCAGUUGCUAAAAAUGAUCCAACUCCGGUUAUCAGAAGCAUGUUAAAGACCGGGACACAUGCCGUGGCGAAGAGUUCUAUGAGACCCAUAAUUUACUUUGAGGGUUCCGAAUUAUGCAAUGCUUCUUAUCCUGAAAUGAAUCAUAAAGUUUGUGUGAAGUACUUGAUGGAUAGUUAUAAUAGGCAGAAGUACUAAUCAACAUAAUCUUUAAGUUUGAUGUGAGGAUUUAGUUAAAUUUAUAACAUUUUGAUGAACUUUUAACCGUACAAAGCUAGCUAAUAUAAGACGGUAUGAGAGAUGUUAUUUAUCAACAAAAAAAAUCAUAGAAACAAAAGCAAACAAAACAACGAACAUAUGUAAAAAGUGGUAAAAGUUCUAAAAAAAAUACAAUACACCUUAAAGUUUGCUUAUCCAAAAAAAAACACCAGUGCUCUCUCUACUCUCCCACAUAGCUCAAACUAUCAGUUUCCCCAGAGUCAAGAAAAGAAGGAACAACACCAAAGCCAUUUAAAAGGAGUCAUGGUAUAAGGGUCUAUUUGAUCCUACGACUAAGGGCAUGCACAAUAGAGGCAAACAUCCGUGUUAGCCUCAUACUAAAAUAAGCUCCACGUAUGCCAAGAAAAAAAAUCAAGACCACCACCUGUCCAUGUCUGCUCUUCUCCUCAUUGCUAUCUUGCAGUAAAAAAGAAAGCCCAUGUUAUUAGAGUAGAUUGUUGUUUUUCAGCUUUCCUUCUCUCUCAAUGAGGCUACUGCUUUUGAUCCCAGUGCACUCUUGGAUAGCAGUUUCUACCAUUUGCCAGUUGAAGCUAAUAGUUCCUCUACAAGAUACCAAGACCACUUUUGAGACCACUAAACUGUAUGACAUGGAAUCUUGAUGCACAAUUAGAGGCUAUCUUGCAGCAAAAAAGAAAGCCCAUGUUAUUAGAGUAUAUUGUUGUUUUUCAGCUUUCCUUCUCUCUCAAUGAGGCUACUGCUUUUGAUCCCAGUGCACUCUUGGAUAGCAGUUUCUACCAUUUGCCAGUUGAAGCUAAUAGUUCCUCUACAAGAUACCAAGACCACUUUUGAGACCACUAAACUGUAUGACAUGGAAUCUUGAUGCACAAUUAGAGGCUGGGGCAGCACGCCAACAUGGAGCGUUGGGAAGCUCUAAUAGUUAUCUGCUAAAAAAUAUUCAAUGACUUAUUUAGAUAUUUAGCUAAUAUAAGUUCAGUUAAUGUCUUACCUACCACAUAACUAAAAAUUAACUAUUAGUUGGUUUUUCUCUAGCUAACAUAACUAAUAGUUAGAUCUAAAUAAGACCAAAGUCAAGACAGGUCUAUACACGCGCUUGGAUCCUUUGCCUGUCACUGUGCUGCCUUGCCGAGCGACGAUAGCAAGGACGGAUAGCUCAAGCUUCUUAGGGACUGCGCUGGUGUGGUUUGCCAUGCUCGGCAAGGUCCUCAUUUCUCGUGUCAGCGUGGGCAAUGCGAGGUUAGGCAAGGUCUCGCUCGAACCAAGUGCGCAAAUAAGUGCAAGUAGAAAGUGUAGGAAGAAGAGAAAGGCCUUAGGCCAAUUUCAAUAUAAGAUUUCACCUCCAAGUUUUUAAGACAUGAAACAGGUCUUCCCUAAGUGGAUCGUUUCAUUGCACAAUUUUAUGGGUUAUUUUAGUCUUUUUAGGGUCAAACCAAUCUCUCCUUUUUUCUCUCUCCAUCGUGACCAUGAAACCGUGGCUCGGCAAAGUCGAUCUCGCCGAUGGAUCAAGACGAGAGGCCAAAGAUUUGACCCACCACCACCAACAUGGAUGCGUAGGCAGAGGCAGACACGACAUCGGUGGCCAGCGAUGAAGUCGAUCUUGCUAGUGGUGCCAGCUGCCGAGCUCCUACUCGUGCUCGCUCUCGCGAUUGGUGGAGCCAGCGUUCGAGCUCUCGCCUGUGCCCACUCCUGCGGCCGGUGGAGCCCACGGCCGGGCUCAUGCCCGCUACCACUCCCACGACCAGCAGAGACAACGGCCGAGGUCCCACUCGUGCUCGCUCCCAUGGCCUGCGAUCAGCGACUGCGCCUACGACCGGCAUCGAGCUCUCAUCUAUGACCGCCCCUGCGACCGGCUCGUGUCCGAUGAAAUGAAUCGAGUCUUCUCAGUAGGGGUUUCAUGUGGUUUUUUAUGUCUUGAAAAUGACAUUGAUACGUUUCAUGGGGAUGAAAUGUUUCCUUCUCUCUCAUCCUUGUUUUAUAAGAAAACUCCAAAUUGGUACCCUAUUUAAUGUGCAUAAAAUUCCCAUAAAACUUCAUUGAAACUUGUCUUAGUGCACAUUUGAUUGCUGAUGAUAGUAGCCGUGCUAAAGCUUGGGCUGGGCAAAUUUCUACGCAAAAAUCUACUUCCCUUGCUCAAGCUCCUUGGGGAUUGAGCUAGCGAGGUUUGCCUCGCUCGCGUAGGAGAGUCAGAUCGGCUCGCCCGAGCAAGCAAAGUCCUCGUUUCCGGUGCCGGCAUAGGCGAGCCAAGGCAGAGGCAAGGUCUCUCUGGAAUCAAGCACGUGCCUAUGUCAAAUAAGUGCGAGUACAAAGAGCAGGAAGAAGAGGAAUGCCUUAGGGCACAUUCAGUCGCUGAUGUUAGGCCUUGUUUAGUUCACCCUAAAAACCAAAAACUUUUCAAGAUUACUCGUUAUAUUGAAUUUUGCGGCACAUGCAUGAAUCAGUAAAUAUAGUUAAAAACAAAAACUAAUUACACAGUUUGCCUGUAAAUCACGAGAUAAAUCUUUUAAACCUAGUUAGUCCAUAAUUAAAUAAUAUAAUUUACCAUAAACAACAGAAAGUGCUACCGUUGUCAAAAAAUUUUCAUUUCGGCAACUAAACAAGGCCUUAUAUUAGUUGCCGUGCCAAAAGAUUGGGCUGGGCAAAUUUCGGCUCAAAAAUCUGCUGCCCAGGAUCAGCCGGAGACUGGUCGCAGUCUCACAGAAAUAAUCUACGACGCCUACGUCUGAGCUAGGCCAGCCAAAAAUUUUGGCUACCAUCUCCGGCCAGCCAAAUAAUUCCAAACGGGUCGGUUUGCAUGCUGCCAACGGCCAAUAUUUGGCUGGCAGCCUGAGGCCGGCAGCCAAACGUGUCAUAUCUGUGUGUGAGUCACGACUCAAGCGCAAAUACCAAAACCAUAAAGCUGUCAUUUCGUCAAAAGAAAAACCAUAAAGCUGUCUAAAACAAAUAUUAAAACCAGAAAGCACCCAUCCAGAUCGAGUGGGGUUUCAGACUUUCAGUUCAGUACUGGCUAAUGGCUACGCUAACAACCUGUGUUUAACAUCACACUGGCCCAGAGAGAGAGAGGCGCCCGCAUUGAAUCUCGCACAAACUGUAGAAAGUUCAUAUCCAGGCCGUUCGCAAUGCUAAUUUACAUAUAGCUAGCUAGUUAGAUGAGAUAUAAAAAAAAACAUUACAGUGAAAAAUUAUAUAAGUUGUGAGAGAUGUGUUUUUAAAAAGAUCGUGCUACACUUAAUCACUAGUUAUUUGAUCUUUCUUUUUGAUAGUCUAUGAAAUUCUUCUAAACUAGUUAUUUAGCAACCAUUUAGGACGCCGUGAUUAAACGAAACUGAACGAGAACUCGAGAAGUCCUACCGAGAUUUCAAGAACAUAGCUGGGGAUCCUCUGGACCAGCUGAGCAUAGGUGGGAUCCAGCUGAUCGAUCCUGAUAGAGGAAGGAAAAUGGGAGCGAUCGCUCAAGCACAGCGUCAGAGUUGGAUCGUAACGCGAUCCACGACGUACCUCAACAGCCGCGCCGAUCGAGCUAGACGAUGUCCAAUGUGGAGAAGGGCCAACGGGAGCGCUCCGCCUCUCUGGGCUCCGGGCUCUCCCACUCUUCUGAUCGGAAUUGCGUUGCCCGGACCACGAGUCCACGAGGCAGUGACCGAGAUAUAUAUAAAGCUACUAGUGGCGGCCGCGACGGCGGGCCAAUGGGCGAUUGCCUGUGGCGGGCUGGCUGGUUCCGUGGCCGCCUUUGCCUCGGUGUCGAUGGCCACUGAUCAGGCAACCCGCAACCUACGUCACUGCGUGCUGGAACUUCUGAAUUUUCUUGCUCCUGUCGCGGCCUGGUGUUCUUUUUUUUUUUAAAGAACCUGGCGGGUUUGUUUGUGGUGGGUCAAUUUAGGGAAUGUUUGCACUUUCUAAAUUUUAGCUACUAAAAUUAUUUUGGUUACUCUUAGGUGACUAGUAGAACUAAACUAUUUUAGUUUUUUUAGUUAGUGUAUUUAGAACUUUAUCUAUUAAAGUAACUAAAGUUUAACUGGCUAAACUUUAGCAAGGGGAACCAAACAGACUCUUAAGUGGACUACCCACUAAACACUGUCGAUUGCGUGUAUUCAUGCUACAGUAGAGAUCUCUUUUAUCUUUUACAAGAGGAAUUCCCCACGUUGCCACAUGAUUUUAGGAUAGGCUCAUAAGUCAUCGUAGAAAGUAUUGUUCGUGAUUUGUUAUGAGAGAAAAAUAUUGUUUAAUGGCUAACAGAUAAGCUCAAGCGAAUAGAUUGAUGAUGAUUGAUGAAUGAAGAAAAUAUUAUAGAACAUGAAAGCAAUUAUUUAGGGAUAGCAAGAUGAAAUAUAAUACUAUAUAUCCUAGAGGGGAAAUAUAAAAACCAUUAGGAUGAACAAUGGACACAUUUUAUAUGGCAUAUGAAACGCAAAUGGGCGCAAAAGUGCAUCAGCAUAAUCCCCAUAUCAACCUUGAAACGCGCUUAGCAUAUAAGAUGUGUGUGCGUUGAAUAUCUGGAUGACAUAACAUAAUUCUUAAUCAUAGGAUUAGUGUAUCUCGGAUAAACUAUGAGCACAUGCCAUUUUUUAUUUGAACACGUAAGAACAUGUCCAAAAUUCAAAUGGUAUGGUUUGUUCUCUAAUAAUACUUUAAAUUAAACUUGUGAUCGAUAGAACUGAAACGUCAAAUUUAUAUAAAUAGAAAAGGCUGAUAUGUGCAAAAAAUAAAGAAAUAAAUGAGCAAUCACAUUACAGUAAGGAGAAACUGUAGAAUCAAAAAAUGGAUGAUUAUAUAUUGUAAUACACUGAAACAAGAGAGAAAUACCUGACCAUGAUUUGUGGAGAAUAUAGUUUCUGGGAGAGAAUUGAUUCUCUAGCGAGAGAGGAAGAGGAAGCAUGUACAGCAGCGGUAGUCCUGAAAUUUGUUGUGAUACUCAUUUAUGGAGCCAAUGUGAUGAAUCUGUAGAUUGAUGGCGUAUGCUGUAUAGUGCCAGACUGCCGGUUAGUUUGCAUUCCACCUCAUGAUAGUAGUAGACACGGGCACGGGCUGCCGUCGAGAGUACAUAUCCAGCUAUGUGGUGGCUUCGGCCAAGGCAAAAUAUGUAGUUUUUAAAAGUACUUGACAUCUUAGGAUUUUUGUUAAAAUCACAAAAAAUAGCCUCUAAUGACAAAACUACUUGACAAUUUUGUGAGUUUGGCAAAAUUCUCCCUUCACUUGACAAAUAUGUUAAGUCCUCCAUCGUUUGGCAUCACGUGUAUAUACCAAUUUGCCAACUAGUUUUGCCAACUUGUUGGAGGCUCAAUUUUAUGAUUUUGGUAAAAAUCCUAGGAUGUUAAAUUCUUUUGCCAAGUCCAAAUAGCAAACUGUUGGAGAAGACUUCUUUUUUCACUUAGCAUUUGGUUUUGAGACUUGGCAAAACUAUAGAUUUACCAAAUGAAUUUUAGCAAACUGUUGGAGUUGCUCGCAUUGAGGAGAGGAAGCGACUGGUAUGGUAAAAAUUCUAAUUUGUUGUGUGGGGUCCUAGGUCUAUGAUGGAUAAAUACUGUUACAUGACCCUUGGUUCCUCCAUGAUUUUGCCGCAAUUAUUUGGAUGUCUCUUCGUUCUUCGUUGGUAUUUGGUGGGGCCGCAAUUUAUAACUGAGCUUACUGAUUUGGUGAGGUCUUGAGAUAAUAUGACUUCACGAGAAAUUGUAGAGAAAUAUUGCGGUGGGAUUUUGCUUUAUAAGGCUAGUAUCAGUGGGAGUUUAAUCUGAGUUUCAUUCACAUUAAAUAGUUUACUACAUAGUCAUUUUAGAUGACAUGACAGUGUAUUUAAGAAGAGAGAAGAAAUGAGUUUCAUCUAGAUGAAAUUCUCUUGGCACGAUUACCAACUCUCUAUGGUCUUGAAAUUAAAUGCUUAUGAAACUAUAGAAUGAAACUCUCCAUUGAGAGUGGACAUUUCAUCCAAGUUUUAUUGCAUUUCAUAUGACAUGGCAACCUUGGAAACAACGCUAUGAAACUCUCCACGUUUCAUGACACAGUUACCAAAACGAUAAACUAGUAACCGAGCUCACUCAUUGAAUGAAACUCCUUUAUUUAAUAACUCUGCCAAGUCAGCAAUUUUGCUUAUGUGGCAUCUUAUUUAAUGUGCAUGACACUCUCAUGAAACAUACAUUGAGACUGGCCUAAGAGAUAUUAGCCUCUACAUAAGUCAUACAAAUAAUUAUUCAUUGGUAUGGUUCCACCUAAUAACCUUCCAAAAAAACAAUUAAAUAAAAGGAGACAAACCCUUGUCCCAACCAACAAACCAAGGACAAAGCCUUAUUACCUACGUGCACGACGAAGAAUCGAUCGUCUUCAAUAGCGUAGAUCCUUGUUUGGAAUGAUGGACCAAAAGCGAGUCUAAUAUAUAGCCCUCAAAAUGACCAUAAAAAAGAAUAUAAUAUCUCUUUUUUUAAGCACGCCACUUUGGUUUAACCAAAUAGACAAAAUGAAUUAAAACACGCGCCUCUCAUGUAAACCAAAUAUGACUUACAAACACUAUCCACGCAGUGUACCACAUGACUAUUAAAGAACAUGUGUUGCAUGGUCCAUUUGCUAAAUUUAGUUCGCUUAAACAAAUUUACUUAUAUACAAAAUACAUCAACAUCUGUGAUAUAAAGUAAGUUUUGUUAAAUCAUUCAAUAAAUAUAUCUUGAUAGUUUAUUUAUUAUUUAUACUUAUAGAUGUCAUAUAUAUUGUAAUGAACACUUCACAAAAAUUAGAAAAAAUAGUGAACUGCAAUGCGGAAAUGAAGUAAAAAAGCAAUAACUUUCAAUAUCUUUUUGCUUCUGGUCAAUAAAGAUUAUAUUUAGUCAAAACUACUCCAACUAAGCGGGAAAGUUACAUUUUUAUUAUUAUAACAAUUACCACUCGUCUCUUUAGGAUAACACUUACAAAUUUACUAAAUAAGAAAAGUUUUAACAUCGAAUUUGCUAUUUUACACAUGUGGCAUGCUACACACAUUGUCGUCGUAGUUGGUAAGACACGCCCGCUCGUAUAUGUAGCCGCACGGCUUAUCCUGGCCAUCGGUUCUUUGUGGCCCCACUAGUGAAUAGAUUUUUCCAUCGAUCAAUCUCUAGCACUUCGCACGGCGCUGCUCGUCGCCAUUGCUACGCCUGCGGCCACCUCGUCCGCCCAGCUUUGGCUCCAACACCCUCCAUCGUGUCGAUGUCGCCAGGACCUCUAGCGUCCCUGCCUCUGCCUCUGCCUCUACCGCCCUAGCUCUGGCUCUAGCCCUGGCCUCCGCCACCACCACCAUGGUAGCUCUAGCUCCGGCCACCUCCCACACCCCCGCUCCGACCCUGGCCUCGGGCAUACUCGCAUCCAUCGUGCCAGCUCUGACCACCUCGUCCUUCACCGAGCCCCAUCACUCAAUGCCACGUCCUGGGCCUCUGCGUCCCACCCCGCAAACGCCUAUUCAGACGCCUAUUCCGAGCUGCAUGAAUCUUGACGCCUUUGUGUGGCUACGACCCUUCACCACUAAAUUUACAUUGAGAACUGUGCAAAUACACAUCUCAAUAUAAUUCUAGUGGUAGAGGGAGUACAAACGUAUAUGUCCUUAAAAUGCAAAAAUAAUCUUACCGGUCAGCACGUAGGAGGGCACGACGUUCUACCCCUGGCCGGCAGCACGCGUGGCAGUCCCGUACUCCUCCAGUGAAAAAGGAGAAAAGAAAAAGGGGAAAAUAAUAAAACAUGAAAAGAAGAAAAUAUGAGGGUAUUGGGCUGGGACGUCAUUCUCACGCAGAGGCAGCAGAGAUCACGCCGCGGCCGUGCGUUCCUGCCACGGCCUGCGUUCGCUGUACAGUAGAGGCCUAGAGGGGAUGGCACGGGACGGCAAGGCACUGCCUGUAGGAGUGCAGGCUACCGGCCGCAGUUGUCUCGUACUCGAGUGCCUGAAGCCCGCUGAGCGGCGGUAUCGAUGGAGAUGGCUCUUCAAAUGAAUGUUUGUGGUUUUUCUUCAAUAUAAUUUAAUAAACUAAACGAUUAGAGAAGAAUCAUGGGUAUUUGUUUGGAGCACCGUCUCUAUCCUUAGACAGCAGGCAGGACGGCCGUGCUCGUGCUUCCUGCCCAUCGACGCCGCCGAGUUCUCUCUGGUGGCGAAAGCAGAGGUGUUUCAAUUUCAUUUUACAAAUUUCUUACUCUAUCAACAAUGUACAACAUUUUCCGGCCUGGUGUGUCCUGUUGUCGCGAGCUCACGACAGCGUCCACAUGAAGAAGGCGGACCAGAUGGUCACGGUGACAGGGGCGAGCGCGUACACCCAGACGAGGAUCACCGAGCACUCGCUCUCUCCGACGCCAAACAGCUGCAUUAUAGUCCCUGGAAAAAAAAUAACAGCACACACUUCACUUGCUACGACCUUUUUUUCGCCCCAUCUCGAGCAGACGAGCACACAUAAUAUCUUCGAAAAAUAAAUUGACUAGGCUACGCAGUUGGUGCAUUAUUAUAUUACCGAUGUUCAUUGCGGGUGGCACGGCGUACUGCAGAUGGAGGAUGAAUUGGUACAACGGGUCUGGCUGGAUGAGGCCCAUCCGGACGGCUCCGUUCACCAGCGCCGUGCCGAGCAGCGGGAGCAGAAUGUAUCUCACAACUAUGACACCGACUAUUACCGACGGUGGAACACUUGCGCCGCCUCGUACUCCUGGCAAAGGUUCCACGUCACGCAUCGAUCAUGCUUGUGCUCAUCAGAUUCGAUAUAUGUGUUUUGCAAUGUCAUAAUAUGACAGUUAAAGAUAACACAACGUUAUAUGCAUGACACUGUUGUUUGUGAUGAGAGCAAAGUUACCGUUCAGUAGGUUUGCUCCCAUUAUCAAUGUGACGGAUGGAAUUGCUCCGCCGCUGUACAGGGCAUAAUAACCCAUGAAACUGAUUAGAUAUGUAGACUAGGAACUACCUAGAGGUAAUUAAGGGGUAAGGCAACAUCAAAUGAACACAACGGUGUUAAAAAAAGAAAGAUAACAAAAUUUAACUAAUCAAGAGGACCAAGUAUGCUCACAAAGUUAAGAAAGUGUGUAGAACUAUAUAUACGUACCCUAUCAAUUCAGACGAUUCCUGCACGACACGAAGUGGAGCGCUGUCGCCAAUUAUAGCAUUUCUCAACACAGGUGUUCCUCCGAUUAUGAAGCCGACAAUCUACAAAAGAUCGCCUCAUUAUGUUGAAAGCGGUAGAGACAAGUGAUCAAACAAAAUGGACUUCUUUUGUGAUGUUAAGGUUGCAGAGAUAUCUUGUGGAUAUAGUGAUCGCAGCAAUUACCAUGGGGUUUCAGUUAAAAAAAAUGAACAUGAUGUGAUAAUAAAGUAGAGUUAAUAGCUCAUCAAACCAGUGUACCACUGCAAUGGUUGCAGGGGCAAAGAGUUUCUUCAAGUCAAUUGCUUGAGAAAUUGAUGAUAAGAACUUCCGUGCUCUCUCCAACGUUGGUUCCUACACAACUUCAAAUCUUAUAGUGCCCCAAGCAAGCAAAACUGUAGGACAUAUAGAGAAGUGCAACUUGUGAAAGAAAAAUCUUUCAGCCUUGACAAACCUUAUUUUUAGCUGGAACUAUUCUCGACGAUAACAAAGGGAGUGUACAUUCAUUGGUGCAAUCAUUUGAGGUGGAGCAGUUCUCCUCUACAAUAGUUCCUGUAGCAUUUCCUGAACUUAACACUUUCGUUUCAUUUGUUUGAGCAUUGUCAUCUCCUUGCGUCACGUUUGAUGUGACACGAACAAUAUUAUACACAAUAGACCAUAGGAAAAUAGCACCGAUCUGGCAAGCCAUUCAAAUUAGUCACUGAGUCUUGCAACUGAUUACAAGCAUAAUAAGCAGGCUUACAAGAAUUGGAAAUAUAUACUAAAUAGUAAAUACUCAAGCAACAAUUUACUUACAGCCAUGGAGAGUGAAGAAUAGGCUAGUCCAAUAUUCUGACAAACAUGAGGUGCUCCAAAUGGGCUUCCUUUCUCUUUGCAAAGAGUUGGAAUGACAAUGAGAAAAAGAUUGCCCAAAUUGCCUGCAUUCGACCAACAAGUUGACAAUAGUUUUUGAAAAGAUAAUUAAUAAAGGGCAAAAUAUGGGCUCUAUUAUAUCCAUCCUAUUUCACUGUUAGUGACCAAGUUCAUUUCUAUGUCUCAUCAGGGUCAAUAUUCAGAGAAAGGGCCUUAGAAUUGUUGAUACGGUAAUAAACUAGCUCGGUUUGGCUUCUAGAUUCAAGUAACGAAGGUGACAUGUACAAGAUACUACUAAUUGUGAAACUAGCUUGCAUCAGCUUUGGCGAUUAGACUUUCCAGUAGUAGCUAGCCCCUGCUGCGCUGUAUAAAGUUUAAUUUAUGGAGAUUUUUGUAAGAUAACAAUAAAUAUUUUUUUUGGUUCUGCUCCUUCCAUUCUAAAUUGUAAGACAGUUUGGCUUUCUUGCUAUGUUGCUAUAGACAUAGAUAUUUAAGUGUAUAUAGCAAAGUCUAUGUAUCUACAAAAGUAAAAAUAUUCUAUAGUUUGAAAUGGAGUGAGUACUAUCUAGUGUUCGGAAGCUUGUAUCUACCAGUAAAACUUAAGUUUUUCUGACAAUGAAACGUGAUUCUUCAGUUGUCCCUUUUCACUUGUAUCUUGAUUCCUUACUUGACUAUUCACUAGUAUCAUUCUAACUAGCUUUCAAGCUGAAUGUCUGUAAGAUUUUUGGAGGAAUAAAAUGGGUAAAUAAAGAACGUAUAUUUCGGAACUCCAAAGUAAGUUCUAUUCUGCACAUCGAAUCUGAUCUAGAGCCAUUCCCUUCAAAUAUGAACUAGAGCCAUAUGGGAGUCACAUAACACUGAAAUCUAGAGCAAAUAGACACGCAUAUAGCCUAUCCGAGAUAGCAAUAAGAACUUGAAGGUUCUACACUAUGUUUAUCUAAAAAUUGAAGUUUAAUCAUUAAUUACUAAUAAUUGCACAAAAGGUGAUAUAAGUACACUUAGUUACCAGCAGAACAACAACCCAAAAUGAGGCCUUUUAGCUUGGCAGGUGCUCUUGUAACUCUUACCACAAUCCAUCCAAAGAAUAAACCAAAGGUAAAACCAAGAAGAAUAUUUACGGGCAUAAACCAC
rnacentral:lncRNA from 1 species